AUGGGACUUGUAACCGUCACUUUUGUCUUGAGUAGUUAAAAGAUAGAACAGUCUAGCCAAGUGCCAUGUCUCUUAUUCUUGAUCAGCUAUAGCUCUGGAGUUUUUGCAGAUUUUCAAAUAAAACUUAGAGAUUCCUUGUAUGACUCUAAAUCUCUCUUUUGUGGUAUUUUUGGAUCCUUACCAAGGCAGUGAUGGUAUAUGCCUUCUCUCAAGAUAUGUGGUAUUUGUGGUAUAAGGCAUAGUGACAUUGCCUUCUCUCUCACCCUACUCUAAUAAGGCUUUAAUAUCAGGAGCUCAUAGGUGGGAGAUAAAGUAUACAUACUUACAAGACAUUUAUUGUACAGUCAAACCAUGGAUCCAAAGAAACAAAUCAAUAAGCCAAAUCAAGAUGUGCAUGUGUGGCGAAUGAAUGGUGUAUGGUGAUAACAAUGGUGAAAGUCUAAUUCUACUUUUGCUCUUUUGAGGGGAUACAUACCUUCCUUGAUUUUUGAAACUUUAUGAGGAGAAUGAGAUGCUCUAUCUUUUCUUUUUCUUUUCUCUCAGGUGGGUAUCUUGUACCCCUAAUUCUACUGUCGGACACUUGUCCAUUUUUACCUCUCGUCUCACUCUCUCUCUUUUUUUCUUUCGAGGUUCCGGGCACUUGCCCCUUUUUAUUUCCUCGUAUAUUUUUUUCUCUCCCUUCUCUUUUUUUUAGAGCACUCAUCUCAUGAGAUAAUAUAGCAAGUGGUAGUAACUAGAUAGCUUGAGCAUUUAUUUCACAAGGAAAAACAGAAAUAUUUUUGGUUAUUCUCUCCCGGAUUAGGAGUAGAAUAUUUUUUUGUGGUUCUGGAGAUGGAAAUGAGUGGAUAUAUGUGGAUGGUACUUCCGGAGUUGAAGUAGCAUAUAUGAGUGAAUGUGCAAGUGAAAUCUUGAUUUAACCACAUGACAAGCUUCUAAGGGUCUACACAGCUUGACCACACUCAAUGCUCAUAAGCAGUAAAUAGUAAAUGUGUGGCUCAAAGUCUAGCAAGCAUGUAUAUAUGGCUAUGGUAGGAAUUUAAACUUUCAUCAUACAGAAACUCAUCAUGCAAUAUUUUAAAGAUUUUUCAAACAUAAAAUUCUCCAGAAUUCUAGCAUCUCUAGGAACAGAUAAACAGCAGCUCAGCCUUCCCAUAUCAUAUCCGUUAACAACUUAGAUUUCAGAUCAAGGUUUCAUCCCACAAGUUUAGAUCUAGAGCAAGCUUUAAAUUAUAACAGUUAUGUCUAAACUUGAGAGAGAACUUCAAAUAUGUAAAUUAGGCAGAGCAACUAUUCAUCAUAUCCAUGCUAGAGUUUUAUUAUUAAGAUUCAGAUUAGCAUAGCCACUUUAUUUAUUAAACACACUAAGCAAAAGAUAUAUAUAUAAGUACAAAAUCUUUAUUUGGUUUUUCAUACUUUAUGUAUUUUAAUAUUCUAAUAUAAUAUAAGUAUAAAGAUAGGUAGAAAUACUUAGCGAGAUAAAUGGGGGUGCUCUCCCCCAAGCUGAAUUUUGACGUAAUUUCUCUUGAUGUAGCUAGGAGGUGGCAGAGGUGUAUUUGAAAGUCAGCAGCAUUCUGACAGCAAUUAGAAUGUCCUCCGUCUGCUAGUCUUCUUGAUUCUUAAAUUAUGUGGAGCUCAAAUAGACAAAAAAGCUUGUGGAACUAAUUAAGUGUUAGCAUAAAUAUCUAGCCUUCAUCAUGUUGAGCUUCCUCAAUAAAUAUUACUCCCUGUUUUUAUAUUUUUAUUUUAUAAAGCAGAAAAGAAAUAUUUAUUUUAUUUUUAUGCCACCAAAGUGAAGGUACUUAUGGGUUUUAUGCCACUCGUAUACUCACAAGGGGCUUAGUAUUUAUUAACAUUUUUAUUUUCUUUUCAAGAUAGCAUGAUUAACUAAUAAUCUAUUUAAGGAAAGUAAAUAAUUAAAGGGAAAAGGGAAUGCAGAAAGGAUAAAUAUGGAUAACUACCGAUCUUACCUUUCGGCGAGGGUUCAAUGUUUUAAGUGUUCUUAACAAUACUUCUCACUGUGUUCAUUCUUCAGGUGCGUCAUUUGAUUCAGAUGCGGACCUUGAUGUCUGCACUUCUUCGUUUGCCCAGCAGUUCGAAGUGUGGCGUCGGCAGUAUCUUGCUCAGUGUCUUUAUGCUCGUAGAUCCAGGUCCUUCACUUGGUAGAGUCUGAGAGUUAUAAAACUCCUCCGUGUUUUGCUCGAAGUGUACCUGCUCAUAGAGACAAGGCAGAGAUCAAGUGCAUGGGUCCUGUUGGUGGAAAACACCACCAGAACCUAAAGUGUAUUUGUUCUUCCCUAACCCUAAGCAUAGUGAGGAAGACAAAGUUGAUGGAUGAAAAGUUCAUGAGUGUAGCACUUAUAACAUUUGUCAGAUCAGAUCGCUCAACCUUAUGGAAAGAUAAUCUAUCUAUGU
rnacentral:lncRNA from 1 species